rnacentral:snRNA from 1 species
UUACUCUGGCAGCACAUAUACUAGAUCUGGAACAAUACAGAGAAGAUUAGCACGGCCCCUGCACAAGGAUGACAUGCAAAUCUGUGAAGCGUUCCAUUUUUUU